rnacentral:rRNA from 3 species
AUGUCUACUUGGAGGUUGUGCCCUUGAGGCGUGGCUUCCGGAGCUAACGCGUUAAGUAGACCGCCUGGGGAGUACGGCCGCAAGGUUAAAACUCAAAUGAAUUGACGGGGGCCCGCACAAGCGGUGGAGCAUGUGGUUUAAUUCGAUGCAACGCGAAGAACCUUACCUGGUCUUGACAUCCACAGAAGAAUCCAGAGAUGGAUUUGUGCCUUCGGGAACUGUGAGACAGGUGCUGCAUGGCUGUCGUCAGCUCGUGUUGUGAAAUGUUGGGUUAAGUCCCGCAACGAGCGCAACCCUUAUCCUUUGUUGCCAGCGGUUAGGCCGGGAACUCAAAGGAGACUGCCAGUGAUAAACUGGAGGAAGGUGGGGAUGACGUCAAGUCAUCAUGGCCCUUACGACCAGGGCUACACACGUGCUACAAUGGCGCAUACAAAGAGAAGCGACCUCGCGAGAGCAAGCGGACCUCAUAAAGUGCGUCGUAGUCCGGAUUGGAGUCUGCAACUCGACUCCAUGAAGUCGGAAUCGCUAGUAAUCGUGGAUCAGAAUGCCACGGUGAAUACGUUCCCGGGCCUUGUACACACCGCCCGUCACACCAUGGGAGUGGGUUGCAAAAGAAGUAGGUAGCUUAACCUUCGGGAGGGCGCUUACCACUUUGUGAUUCAUGACUGGGGUGAAGUCGUAACAAGGUAACCGUAGGGGAACCUGCGGUUGGA